rnacentral:rRNA from 1 species
UGAUUUAAUUUUGAACGAGUGGCGGACGGGUGAGUAACACGUGGGUAACCUGCCCUUAAGUGGGGGAUAACAUUUGGAAACAGAUGCUAAUACCGCAUAAAUCCAAGAACCGCAUGGUUCUUGGCUGAAAGAUGGCGUAAGCUAUCGCUUUUGGAUGGACCCGCGGCGUAUUAGCUAGUUGGUGAGGUAACGGCUCACCAAGGCAAUGAUACGUAGCCGAACUGAGAGGUUGAUCGGCCACAUUGGGACUGAGACACGGCCCAAACUCCUACGGGAGGCAGCAGUAGGGAAUCUUCCACAAUGGACGCAAGUCUGAUGGAGCAACGCCGCGUGAGUGAAGAAGGCUUUCGGGUCGUAAAACUCUGUUGUUGGAGAAGAAUGGUCGGCAGAGUAACUGUUGUCGGCGUGACGGUAUCCAACCAGAAAGCCACGGCUAACUACGUGCCAGCAGCCGCGGUAAUACGUAGGUGGCAAGCGUUAUCCGGAUUUAUUGGGCGUAAAGCGAGCGCAGGCGGUUUUUUAAGUCUGAUGUGAAAGCCCUCGGCUUAACCGAGGAAGUGCAUCGGAAACUGGGAAACUUGAGUGCAGAAGAGGACAGUGGAACUCCAUGUGUAGCGGUGAAAUGCGUAGAUAUAUGGAAGAACACCAGUGGCGAAGGCGGCUGUCUGGUCUGUAACUGACGCUGAGGCUCGAAAGCAUGGGUAGCGAACAGGAUUAGAUACCCUGGUAGUCCAUGCCGUAAACGAUGAAUGCUAGGUGUUGGAGGGUUUCCGCCCUUCAGUGCCGCAGCUAACGCAUUAAGCAUUCCGCCUGGGGAGUACGACCGCAAGGUUGAAACUCAAAGGAAUUGACGGGGGCCCGCACAAGCGGUGGAGCAUGUGGUUUAAUUCGAAGCAACGCGAAGAACCUUACCAGGUCUUGACAUCUUUUGAUCACCUGAGAGAUCAGGUUUCCCCUUCGGGGGCAAAAUGACAGGUGGUGCAUGGUUGUCGUCAGCUCGUGUCGUGAGAUGUUGGGUUAAGUCCCGCAACGAGCGCAACCCUUAUGACUAGUUGCCAGCAUUUAGUUGGGCACUCUAGUAAGACUGCCGGUGACAAACCGGAGGAAGGUGGGGAUGACGUCAAAUCAUCAUGCCCCUUAUGACCUGGGCUACACACGUGCUACAAUGGAUGGUACAACGAGUUGCGAGACCGCGAGGUCAAGCUAAUCUCUUAAAGCCAUUCUCAGUUCGGACUGUAGGCUGCAACUCGCCUACACGAAGUCGGAAUCGCUAGUAAUCGCGGAUCAGCACGCCGCGGUGAAUACGUUCCCGGGCCUUGUACACACCGCCCGUCACACCAUG